AUAUAUAACCAACCAUCCUUCCAAGAUCAUACAGCUGGUAUCCAACAAUGGCUACUCAUCAAUACUUAACCAAGAACCUAACAAGAAUGAUAUUUAUGCAGCAUCCUACUAAGAUCGGUUAAUAGGUAUCCAUCAAUUCAAAAGGAAGAGAAGAGUAAUUAACUGGUGUAACUUGUCCACAAAGAUAAACUGUGAAUGAAUGACAACUUCCUAUCACCAUGAUUCGAUGAUUUGCAGCGAAUAACACUACAUCUUGAAAUCAGUUGACAAAAUAAAUGUUUCAAAGACAAAAUAGGUGAAUCUGAAAAGAUCUCCUGUGGAAUAAGAGAGCCAAGUCAUAUCCGAAAGUGAGUAAACUAAGAAGUUUGAAAGAAAAAAAAGAAAACUGUAAUUAAAUAGCUCAGUCCGGUAAGUGAUAAAAUAUUGCAGAACCAAGACUUCAGCUGGAACCAACGUUUGCAUUUGAUUUCUAUUUCAUAUGUGUAAUGGAAAAACAAAUAUUGUGUUUAAUAUGAUGAUAAUAAAACUAUGAGACCAUAGGGAACAGUCAAG
rnacentral:lncRNA from 1 species